rnacentral:rRNA from 1 species
AGUGCAUGUGGCGGAUGCCUUGGCGAUCACAGGCGAAGAAAGACGCGGCAGCCUGCGAAAAGCUGCGGGGAGCUGGCAAACGAGCUUUGAUCCGCAGAUAUCUGAAUGGGGGAACCCACACCGCAAGGUGUAUCCGUAGCUGAAUACAUAGGUUACGGAGGCGAACGAGGAGAACUGAAACAUCUAAGUAUCCUCAGGAAAAGAAAUCAACCGAGAUUCCGGCAGUAGCGGCGAGCGAACCCGGAGGAGCCCAGCUUUUGAUAGUACGAACUUUAGCCGAAAGGUCCUGGAAAGGCCUGCUAUAGUGGGUGAUAGCCCCGUAGGCGAAAGAGUUGGUACGGUACUAAGGAAGCGAGAAGUAGAGCGGGACACGUGGAAUCCUGUUCGAAGACGGGGGGACCAUCCUCCAAGGCUAAAUACUCGUGAUCGACCGAUAGUGAACCAGUACCGUGAGGGAAAGGCGAAAAGAACCCCGGGAGGGGAGUGAAAUAGAACCUGAAACCGCAUGCAUACAAACAGUAGGAGCCUCGUCAGAGGUGACUGCGUACCUUUUGCAUAAUGGGUCAGCGACUUACAUUCUGUGGCGAGCUUAACCGAAUAGGGGAGGCGCAGCGAAAGCGAGUUCGAAAUGAGCGUUCAGUCGCAGGGUGUAGACCCGAAACCAGAUGAGCUAUCCAUGGCCAGGUUGAAGGUGUGGUAACACACACUGGAGGACCGAACCGACUAGUGUUGCAAAAUUAGCGGAUGAGCUGUGGAUAGGGGUGAAAGGCCAAACAAAUCUGGAGAUAGCUGGUUCUCCCCGAAAACUAUUGAGGUAGUGCCUCGUGUGUCGCUCCAGGGGGUAGAGCACUGUUUUGGCUAGGGGGACAUGGAGUCUUACCAAACCAAGGCAAACUCCGAAUACCUGGAAGCGUAAGCACGGGAGACAGAGCACCGGGUGCUAACGUCCGGACUCAAAAGGGAAACAACCCAGACCGCCGGCUAAGGUCCCAAAUAACAGCUAAGUGGAAAACGAAGUGGAAAGGCCGUGACAACCAGGAAGUUGGCUUAGAAGCAGCCAUCCUUCAAAGAAAGCGUAAUAGCUCACUGGUCGAGUCCUUCUGCGCGGAAGAUGUAACGGGGCUAAGCUGUUAACCGAAGCCGCGGAUGCGCUGGUUAUCCAGUGCGUGGUAGGGGAGCGUUCUGUAAGUCUGCGAAGGCGGUUCGAGAGGACUGCUGGAGAUAUCAGAAGUGCGAAUGCUGACAUGAGUAACGUUAAAGCAGGUGAAAAGCCUGCUCGCCGUAAGCCCAAGGAUUCCUGCUCUACGUUCAUCGGAGCAGGGUGAGUCGGCUCCUAAGGUCAGGCCGAAAGGCGUAGCCGAUGGGAAUCAGGUUAAUAUUCCUGAACCUGCGUCAGAUGCGAUGGGGGGACGGAGCAUGGAAGAUCAUCCGGGUGUUGGAAGUCCCGGUUGUUUAGCGUAGGAGGUCUGCAGGCAAAUCCGCAGACGCAUCUCCAAGGCAAAGACACGUGCCGCCACGGCGGCGAAGUGAUCGGAAGUGCUUCCAAGAAAAGCCUCUAAGCCCCAGUCUGACGCGGACCGUACCGCAAACCGACACUGGUGGGCGAGCUGAAUAUGCUCAGGCGCUUGAGAGAACUCGGGAGAAGGAACUCGGCAAAUUGACACCGUAACUUCGGAAGAAGGUGUGCCGUAGUACCGUGAGAGGAGAGACACCUUGAGCGGGAAACGGUCUCAGAGAAUAGGUGGCUGCGACUGUUUAUUAAAAACACAGCACUCUGCAAAGUCGAAAGACGACGUAUAGGGUGUGAUGCCUGCCCGGUGCUGGAAGAUUAAUUGAUGGGGUGAGAGCCCUUGAUCGAAGUCCCAGUAAACGGCGGCCGUAACUAUAACGGUCCUAAGGUAGCGAAAUUCCUUGUCGGGUAAGUUCCGACCUGCACGAAUGGCAUAACGAUGGCCACACUGUCUCCUCCCGAGACUCAGUGAAGUUGAAAUGUUUGUGAUGAUGCAAUCUACCCGCGGCUAGACGGAAAGACCCCAUGAACCUUUACUGCAGCUUUGCAUUGAACUGUGAACCGAUUUGUGUAGGAUAGGUGGGAGGCAGAGAAGAGGCCACGCCAGUGGCCUUGGAGCCGACCUUGAAAUACCACCCUGAUUUGUUUGCGGUUCUAACCACGGACAGUGAUCCUGUCUUGGGACCGUGCAUGGUAGGCAGUUUGACUGGGGCGGUCUCCUCCUAAAGGGUAACGGAGGAGUACGAAGGUACGCUAGGUACGGUCGGAAAUCGUGCUGAUAGUGCAAUGGCAAAAGCGUGCUUGACUGCGAGAGCAACAACUCGAGCAGAUGCGAAAGCAGGUCAUAGUGAUCCGGUGGCUCUGAAUGGAAGGGCCAUCGCUCAACGGAUAAAAGGUACUCUGGGGAUAACAGGCUGAUACCGCCCAAGAGUUCAUAUCGACGGCGGUGUUUGGCACCUCGAUGUCGGCUCAUCUCAUCCUGGGGCUGUAGUCGGUCCCAAGGGUAUGGCUGUUCGCCAUUUAAAGAGGUACGUGAGCUGGGUUUAAAACGUCGUGAGACAGUUUGGUCCCUAUCUGCCGUGGGCGUUGGAAGAUUGACGGGGGCUGCUCCUAGUACGAGAGGACCGGAGUGGACGCACCUCUGGUGUACCGGUUGUCACGCCAGUGGCAUUGCCGGGUAGCUAAGUGCGGAAGAGAUAACCGCUGAAAGCAUCUAAGCGGGAAACUUGCCUGAAGAUGAGUCUUCCCGGAGGUUGAACCUCCCUCAAGAGUCGUCCGAGACCAGGACGUCGAUAGGUCAGGUGUGUAAGCGCUGUAAGGCGUUGAGCUAACUGAUACUAAUUGCUCGUGAGGCUUGAUC